rnacentral:rRNA from 1 species
CCUACGGGUGGCAGCAGUGGGGAAUAUUGCACAAUGGGGGAAACCCUGAUGCAGCGACGCCGCGUGAGCGAAGAAGUAUUUCGGUAUGUAAAGCUCUAUCAGCAGGGAAGAAAAUGACGGUACCUGACUAAGAAGCCCCGGCUAACUACGUGCCAGCAGCCGCGGUAAUACGUAGGGGGCAAGCGUUAUCCGGAUUUACUGGGUGUAAAGGGAGCGUAGACGGCGGUGCAAGCCAGAAGUGAAAGCCCGGGGCUCAACCCCGGGACUGCAUUUGAAACUGUGCUGCUAGAGUGCCGGAGAGGCAAGCGGAAUUCCUAGUGUAGCGGUGAAAUGCGUAGAUAUUAGGAGGAACACCAGUGGCGAAGGCGGCCUACUGGACGAUGACUGACGUUGAGGCUCGAAAGCGUGGGGAGCAAACAGGAUUAGAUACCCGAGUAGUC